GGAUGUGUGCUAGUGUUAGAGGGUUUCCGCCCUUUAGUGCUGAAGUUAACGCAUUAAGCACUCCGCCUGGGGAGUACGGCCGCAAGGCUGAAACUCAAAGGAAUUGACGGGGGCCCGCACAAGCGGUGGAGCAUGUGGUUUAAUUCGAAGCAACGCGAAGAACCUUACCAGGUCUUGACGUCCUCUGACAACCCUAGAGAUAGGGCUUCUCCUUCGGGAGCAGAGUGACAGGUGGUGCAUGGUUGUCGUCAGCUCGUGUCGUGAGAUGUUGGGUUAAGUCCCGCAACGAGCGCAACCCUUGAUCUUAGUUGCCAUCAUUCAGUUGGGCACUCUAAGGGGACUGCCGGUGACAAACCGGAGGAAGGAGGGGAUGACGUCAAAUCAUCAUGCCCCUUAUGACCUGGGCUACACACGUGCUACAAUGGACGGAACAAAGAGCUGCAAGACCGCGAGGUGGAGCUAAUCUCAUAAAACCGUUCUCAGAUCGGAUUGUAGGCUGCAACUCGCCUACAUGAAGCUGGAAUCGCUAGUAAUCGCGGAUCAGCAUGCCGCGGAGAAUACGUUCCCGGGCCUUGUACACACCGCCCGUCACACCACGAGAGUUUGUAACACCCGAAGUCGGUGGGGUAACCUUUUGGAACCAGCCGGCUAAGGUGGGACAGAUGAUUGGGGUAAAGUCGUAACAAAGGAACCGG
rnacentral:rRNA from 1 species